rnacentral:lncRNA from 1 species
ACAAGACGUACAUCAAGAUGCAGAGCCCUCUGCUUCUCCAGCACCAUGUCUGUCUGGACGCUGCCAUGAUAAUGGGCCGAACCUCUGAAACUUCCUGAAAGUCAUUAAAAUCAAGUAUCCAAAGUAACUGAGUUCUGAAGCUGACUGCACAGCGGCAUCUGCUUUCCCCGCUCUGAUUUGCCCCAGCCUUCGCUAAGCACAGUAAGGUAGAGCACCAAAGGCUUUUGGAAGCUUUGCUGUUAUCACUUGGGCUGACAGCGAGCGCUCUUCAGGAAAACAAAACAACCUUCCAGUUAAGCCUAUCCACAACUCAUGUUACCAGGGGACUUGUAGUCAAGCCAUGAACCUCAG